rnacentral:tRNA from 1 species
GGAGGCGUUAGAAGGCUGGUGCCUUUUCUGGUCUUCAAAACCAGCGUGGGGUUCAACCAAAUCCCAGGUGGGUUCGAUUCCCAUCCGCCUCC